rnacentral:piRNA from 1 species
UGGUGCUUUGAAAGUAUUAGACAAAAGCAGC